GAUGAACGCUGGCGGCGUGCUUAACACAUGCAAGUCGAACGGAAAGGCCCCUGCUUGCAGGGGUACUCGAGUGGCGAACGGGUGAGUAACACGUGGGUGAUCUGCCAUGCACUUCGGGAUAAGCUUGUGCCACUGGGUCUAAUACCGGAUAGGACGUUGGUCUGGAUGCUGUUGUGGAAAGUUUUUCGUUGUGGGAUGAGCUCGCGGCCUAUCAGCUUGUUGGUGGGGUACUGGCCUACCAAGGCGUCGACGGGUAGCCGGCCUGAGAGGGGGUACGGCCACAUUGGGACUGAGAUGCGGCCCAGACUCCUACGGGAGGCAGCAGUGGGGAAUAUUGCACAAGGGGCUGAAGCCUGAUGCAGCGACGCCGCGUGGGGGAUGACGGCCUGCGGGUUGUAAACUCCUGUCGCUAGGGACGAAGCGCAAAUGACGGUACCUGGAGAAGAAGCACCGGCUAACUACGUG
rnacentral:rRNA from 1 species